rnacentral:tRNA from 1 species
ACUUAUAUAAUUUAUGCAGAAUAUUGUAUUGAAGAUACAAAAGAGAUAAAAAUAUCUGUAAGUA